GCUGCCUUGCUGGACUGACAGAUUUACGGUAGGCUAGGGCAGAGCUUGUGGGACUCAAGCACUUUACAGUUUAACUCUGGAAGGGGGUGUGCAAGCAACCUUAGAGCUGUUCGUGGUUCUGUGAACCAUGCGGACCCUUAAAGAGCUGGAGAGACGGCUGAAGAGUAAGAAUAAAAUGCGAGAUUCAGGAUUGGGAGAUGGCUCCGUGGGCAAAGGUAUUUGCCUUGGAAGUUCGAGGAUCUGAGUUCAGAUCUCCAGAACCACAUAAAAAGCCACUUCUCUACAUGGUCUGCACUUACAGUAGAUACAUUCAUUAUUGUCCAAGGGAAGACAGCCGCUGCCUUACACUUAAAGAGCUUGGUGGAGAGGCUGAAGGGAUACGCUGCAGCUGAAG